rnacentral:rRNA from 1 species
AGAGUUUGAUCAUGGCUCAGAGCGAACGCUGGCGGCAGGCUUAACACAUGCAAGUCGAGCGCCCCGCAAGGGGAGCGGCAGACGGGUGAGUAACACGUGGGAACGUGCCUUUUGGUUCGGAACAACCCAGGGAAACUUGGGCUAAUACCGGAUAAGCCCUAACGGGGAAAGAUUUAUCGCCAAAAGAUCGGCCCGCGUCUGAUUAGCUAGUUGGUGGGGUAAUGGCCCACCAAGGCUACGAUCAGUAGCUGGUCUGAGAGGAUGAUCAGCCACAUUGGGACUGAGACACGGCCCAAACUCCUACGGGAGGCAGCAGUGGGGAAUAUUGGACAAUGGGGGCAACCCUGAUCCAGCCAUGCCGCGUGAGUGAUGAAGGCCUUAGGGUUGUAAAGCUCUUUUAGCAGGGAAGAUAAUGACGGUACCUGCAGAAAAAGCCCCGGCUAACUUCGUGCCAGCAGCCGCGGUAAUACGAAGGGGGCUAGCGUUGCUCGGAAUCACUGGGCGUAAAGCGCACGUAGGCGGCUUCUUAAGUCAGGGGUGAAAUCCUGGA